UGGCCAAGAUGGCCGCGUGCGGGAUCCUCGGGUACCGGGAGCGAACGAGGAGGUUCUGGCUCAGUGCAUCCACUCUGGGAGAGCGUGGACCUGGUUCCUGGGGGCGAUCGCCAGUCACCCAUCAACAUUCGGUGGAGGGACAGUGUUUAUGAUCCCGGCUUAAAACCACUGACCAUCUCUUAUGACCCAGCCACCUGCCUCCACGUCUGGAAUAAUGGGUACUCUUUCCUCGUGGAAUUUGAAGAUUCUACAGAUAAAUCAGCUGCACUUAGUGCAUUGGAACGCAGUCAAAUUUGAAAACUUUGAGGAUGCAGCACUGGAAGAAAAUGGUUUGGCUGUGAUAGGAGUAUUUUUAAAGAUUUCGGAAACUUCUGGCAGCCCAGUGUCUACUGGAAGGCCCAAGCCGCUUGCCAGAAAGCUGCGCCCCGCCCAAAAGCACUGGGUUCUGCAGUCCAGGCCCUUCCUCAGCUCCCAGGUCCAGGAGAACUGCAAGGUCACCUACUUCCACAGGAAGCACUGGGUCCGCAUCCGGCCCCUCCGCACCACUCCUCCCAGCUGGGACUACACCCGCAUCUGCAUCCAGAGAGAGAUGGUCCCCGCCCGCAUCCGCGUCCUGAGAGAGAUGGUCCCCGAGGCCUGGAGGUGCUUUCCCAACAGGCUGCCGCUGCUGAGCAACAUCAGGCCUGAUUUCUCCAAGGCUCCCCUGGCCUACGUGAAGCGGUGGCUUUGGACCGCCCGCCACCCCCACAGCCUGUCCGCAGCCUGGUGACCGUGAAAAUCGCCCCGCCAGAGAGCAGAGGAAGCCCGACGCCCAGGCCAUCUGCCUUCAGGUCUGUGAUGAGAAACGGAGUGGCCUGUUCCGUUGUGCCCAGGUCUAGGCCGCUGAGCAGAGCCCUCACUCCCAGGCAGAGUUGUCUGAAUCCUUC
rnacentral:lncRNA from 1 species